UAUAGUAUAAAUUGGUAAGUAAAAAAAACACUCUUUUUUAAUCGUCAAAUGGAACAUACAUAAUACGGUCACUAAACCCAAACAUCAACCCCCACCUUCCAAAUACUAAACCCUAAAUCUUAAUCAUUAAACCUAAACCCAAGUAUAAACUCUAAACCCAAAUAGUAUAGAACAAAAUAAAUAGUAUAGUACAUAUAGUUGUAAACAAGAAAUUGAUAAAUAAUGAAUUUAUCAAACAAUCGAUGGUACAAUAAUACAACAACCGUAGCAUACUAUUUAGUUUGGUACUUGCGAAUUGUACAAAAAUAUAAGAAUCGUACUAUACUAUAAUUUUCUUUCACUACAUAUAGUAUAGUCGACGAGUUCAUCUUCUUCACAUCUUCCUCUUUUUACAGACAUGGUGAUACACACAUUCACUAGUCCAGAGUAAUUAUUCUUCAUCAUACCAUAUCAAUACAACAUACUAUAACAAUUUAAAUAACAAUGAAAAAAAUCAAGAUGAACAACAUUGAAAAAAACUAAAAAAGAAAAGAAAUUGUGAUGUCACCUCGUUGUUGUCUACGGUGCCAUCUUCUCCUCCAAACUCAAUUCCACAAGCCCAAAAUCCAUAUUAUUUCUUAGUCUAGUGGUUUGUGUUCGUAUGUAUUAAAAA
rnacentral:lncRNA from 1 species